ACGAGGGGUCCUAGCGUUGUUCGGAAUCACUGGGCGUAAAGAGUAUGUAGGCGGCCUUGUAAGUCAGGUGUGAAAUCCCACGGCUCAACCGUGGAAUUGCAUUUGAAACUGCAGGGCUUGAAUAUGGAAGAGGGCAGUAGAAUUCCUGGUGUAGUGGUGAAAUACGUAGAUAUCAGGAGGAAUACCGGCGGCGAAGGCGGCUGCCUGGUCCAAUAUUGACGCUGAGAUACGAAAGUGUGGGGACCAAACAGGA
rnacentral:rRNA from 1 species